rnacentral:rRNA from 1 species
CCCAACAAGUUUAAUUUAUAUUUUUAAAUUUUAUACGUUUAGGUUGCGGGGAUCUAGAAAAUCUUACCUUUGGAAGCGAAUCUCGGAAUUACAUAAAUUGAUAAUAGAUAUUCAGACUGCUCAUGCUAAGUUGGGCAGUCAAGACGGAAACAGCCGAGAACACUGAUCAAGGUCCCAAAUGAUUGUUAAGUGAAAUUAAGGACGUAGCAAUAUCGUAUACAGCUGUGAAGUGAGCCUGGCAGUCGCUACUUAUAAUGAUCGUACGUAACAACGCAUCAGCAGUAUUAAAAUUUAUUAUUAAAUAAUAAAAUUUAAAUGAUAGUAGCGCCGAAAAUUUAACGGGUCUUAAACAAUCAACCGAUAUCGUGUUGGUUUUAUAAAAAAAUUUAUUUUAAUAAAAUCUAGGUAGUAGAACAUUCAGUUUAACUGUUAAUUAAAUAGUGUUUCAUUGUUUAUUAGGUUACUGAAGAGAGAAUGCUGACAUGAGUAACGUAMAAAAUUCCUUAUAAUGGAAUUCGCCGAAUACGAAAGGGUUGCAAAUUUGAAAGGUUAAACCGUUUUGUGUAAAUGCGGCCUCUAAGGACUAUAGCAAUAGCUAUGGCUGAUGAGUAAAUAAUAGAAAGUCCAAUAUUUAAMAAAUGGACCAGGAAAAUAAUAUUA